AGCGAACGCUGGCGGCAGGCCUAACACAUGCAAGUCGAACGAACUCUUCGGAGUUAGUGGCGGACGGGUGAGUAACACGUGGGAACGUGCCUUUUGGUUCGGAAUAACUCAGGGAAACUUGUGCUAAUACCGAAUGUGCCCUUCGGGGGAAAGAUUUAUCGCCAUUAGAGCGGCCCGCGUCUGAUUAGCUAGUUGGGGAGGUAACGGCUCACCAAGGCGACGAUCAGUAGCUGGUCUGAGAGGAUGACCAGCCACACUGGGACUGAGACACGGCCCAGAAUCCUAAGGGAGGCAGCAGUUAGGAAUCCAGCGCAAUGGGCGAAAGGCGGACGCAGCCAUGCCGCGUGAAUUAUGAAGGUCUUAGGAAUGUAAAAUUCUUUCACCGGGGACUGCAAUGACGGUACCCGGAGAAGAAGCCCCGGCUAACUUCGUG
rnacentral:rRNA from 1 species